UACGUAGGUGGCGAACGUUAUCCGGAAUUAUUGGGCGUAAAGGAUGCGUAGAUGGUGUAGUAAGUUAUCGGUGGCAAAUCGAGGCUCAACCUCGUGGAAGUCGGUAAUACUGCUAUGCUAGAGGAUAGGAGAGGUUAACGGAACUCCCUGUGGAGCGGUGAAAUGCGUAGAUAUAGGGAAGAACACCAAUCAGGCGAAGGCAGUUAACUAUUCUAUUCCUGACAUUGAGGCAUGAAAGCGUGGGGAGCAAAACGGG
rnacentral:rRNA from 1 species